AACCCCCCCCCCCACACACACACAUACACUUCUCUGACUAGCAGAAGAAGGCAAUCAAAAGGAGUAAUUGUGAAUGGUUUACAAAUUAAGUUCGAAAACCAAUGCUUUAUACGUUUUGCAUAUAGAGAAACAAUGCUUUUUGAUGCUAAGAAACUUUUGUUAUUCAGGUAUGAGCCAUGGUCAGUGUGGUAAAAAUAAGAUUUUGUGAAAGGUAAGUUGUAAUACAAAGAUUGUUAUGGUAUAAACAUAUUUUACAGUAAUUUUCUUUGAGAGUGAAUCGCUUAAAACUAUCUAGAAAGAGUUGGAGAGAUUGUUUCUAUAAAAAAGAAGAAUCAAAACAUAAGAAAAAGUUAUCGGUUGCGUUGAUAUCAAGUAGACCACCAAGUAGGUGGGUUAAUGUCCAGAAGGUGCACAAAAGAACCUGUUCAGGAUCUAAAACUGAUUUUACAUCUGAUUUGAAACUGGUUUGGGUGAAAUCAGUCUCAAUCCAAUUCGAUUCACAAACCUAUACCGGUUUGAGAUUAUAGACGAUGAAACGAGUUUGGAAAUGUUGAAACAGGUUCCAACCUGAUCUGAUCCGUUUUUCAAAUUAUUUAGUAAAUUGUAUUUCUAUAAGACUAUGUGUGUGUAGGGUGGGGGGAGGGGUUGAAUGGGUUGUGGGAGCCGACCACGUGAAACGGGCGUGACCAUCCUUCUCGUGGAUCAGAUCACGGGUGUGGGGGCGUGGAAGCCACAUUUAUUUCUUUUCUUGUAAUUGAAUGAGUCAAUCACUAACAUCUACAACAACAUUAAAAAAAAUAUUCACUCACCUCACCGCAUUUCACUUGACAAAAACACAUGUAUAGUAAGUGUGAGUUUUCAAAUACCAAUGUCUAUGUGACAUGUUGAUAUUUCAUAUUUCAGAUGAGCAUCACACAUGACCUUAUAAAUAUAUCACUCACUAGUCGGGAACAUAAAAGAAGACGGGAAAAAUGAUUCUCUGAUCCCAAGGCUUAUGCAUAUUGGUGAUGCUGAUAAAGUUUUAAGAUCACCCUUAAGGAACAUAUGUCGAAUUCUCCUCAGUUGAAAGUACCAUUGCAAAGGUGUAGUCUGGAUAUGUAUCGUCGCCUUCAUCUCUUUCAACCAACAAUAGUAGUUGUUUGGUUCAUGCAACAUUCACUUAUCAUGUGAAUUGUGACUUUUAUAAUGACCAUAACACAUGACCUUAUAAAAGUUAUCAUUGGCUAUUGGUGAACGUAAAAAUUGAAGGGCAAAAAUAUGAUCCUCUAAUCCCAAGGCCUCAUAUCGGUAAUGCAGAUAAAGUUCCGAGAACACCCCUAAAGAACAUCAUAUCGAUUUCUCCACAUUUUAAAGUACCAUCACAAAGGUGUAUUUCUGGAUAUGUAUCACUAGUUUCACCUCUUUCAACCAACAAUAGGAUGCAUGCUACAAAAGAAGUCUUUUUUUGUCUUUUGGGCGCUCAUGUAGAUCGAGAAGAUUGGCUACAAGACUUGAUUCUUUUUGCUCGAGCGGUAUCAAGUUUUGAAUAUCUCAAUAACAACCGUUAAACAAACAAUAGAAAAUUAAUAUAUGAUCCCUAAAAAUCAUAAUCAUUUAUGCUAUAACUAGGAGAAAUUGAUUGUUUUUCAACUUGAUGUACCUUGACAAAGGUGAAGAUCUUGUCAACUUGCUUAUUAGCAACAUUUUGCAAUAGAAAGACUCCUUUUUUUUGUGUUCA